CAAACAGCACUGACGCGUCAGAGAGGCUUGCGGGUGAGCACCUAAUUAGAGGGUGGCCAGGGAAGGCCCGUCUGAGGAGGUGGGACCUGAAUGACAAGGAGUCACCACGGGGCGGUCACAGUGCGCCAGGCAGAGGCACCAGCAAACGCCCAAGGAAGGGCCACAGUCAGCGAGUUUGAGGGACGGAAGGCCAGAGCGGCUGGAGCUUGGGGCAGGAGGCAAGAUGAGGUGGUGCCAGAGACUGUGAGCUUCUUGGGGCCAGAGACUAUGUCUUCUUCAUCCCUGUGACCCUCGGACCUGGCACAUAAGAACUCGCUAAAUACGCACUGAACGAACGAUUUUAACAAGAUGAAGCAGCAGCAUUUGAUUGGACAUCCUGGUCCUGGAUCCUGAAACCAGCCUCCUUGGCUUAUGGGCAGUGUCACCGUACUAAUCGAAGCUCCCAAGGCCUUGUUUUCUGGAUGGACUCCCUUCGACAGCAAUAAUGGGCAGUAACAAACUAAGCCCUCACCCCAGCUGCCUGUGAUAAACGCAUCCAGAACACACUACAAAUCUCAGAGUGAGGCUCUGAGGCCUGAGGCUGCAGCAAAAGAAAACCAAGGUUGACAGGCACAAGUUUAAGAACCUGAUAUUCUCUAAAUGAAAAAAGGCCAGAUGCCUGUUUCUUCACCACUGAAUGCAGAAAGUGUGUUAUCUGAGCGUCCUGCCGUUUUUUAAACCUGGGACUCUAAUGAUAUUUGUUUGGUCAACUCUAAACUUCAUUUGUUAAAAAAAAAAAUCUAAUUUACUGAGUCUCACAGUGUUUCUUUCCUUUGCCUUAAAUUGUUGGGGUUUUUAAAUUUUUAAAACUUUUCUUACAUACCUGUUUAUGUAAGAACGUUUUUACCUUUCCAAAAUGCAUCCUCAAAAACUCCUCAGGCCUCCCACCAUCUGAAGGCCACAGGCCAAGCUCCUCUACAAGGCCUCCCAGCCCUGUCUCCUUUUUCACCUCAUUUCUCUCCAUCAUCAUGCCUAAGAAGCUUGUGCCUCCACUGUCCAUACUGUUUGCCGCUCCUGAAACGAGGCAUGCGCGUCACACCUCUGUGCUUUGCGCACCCCCUCCCUCUGCUGAGAACUCCUACCUAUCCUUCAAGGCUGGGUUCAAAUGUCAACCCUCUGUGGAGACUCUGCUUCCCUUAGAAUGGUGUCAAUGACCCGUUUUUCCACUUUCUCAACAUUUAAAAGGAAUAUCUACGGUAAACACCAAAUGUGCUAUACUAUCAUUAUCUACCCCUGUGUCUAUCUCCCCACCAGACUAAGACUCCCCCAAGGCUGGAAAUUAGAUCUCAUUUACUGCAGUUUCCCCAGUGACUGUCUCGUCCUUGGCACACAGCAGAUGGGUAACAUUUGUUUGUUGAGUGAAUGAAUGAAAAUACAGACUCAAUCCCUACCCAAAGGAUCAGGAGCUCCAAUCUAACCACCACAAGAAAAGGAUCAAUCAGCUAUUGGAGCAGAUUCUAAUAGUAUUUAAUUUCCCAAAUUUCCUCUAGCAACCAAACACAUUUGGAAGACAUAUUCAUGCCGAGACCCACGGGUAACUCCGUGGUCCUUGGAACUUCUCCUGCCCCAUUUCAGGAGUGACCCUUUCACUCCGGCAGGCUGGAGCUCAGCGGGCCCUUAGCAGCGGGCCAGCUUAGACCGGGGUCUGCGAGCCUUGUGCCCCUCAGCAGGCACCCGGAAUAGCUCGAUGAGUGUUCACAGGAAUUCUGCACAUGCAUCAAGAAGGAAACAGCCACGAAUAACCCAGCCUGCUCUCCCAAUCUGCAGGGCACAUCUCUGCAAUCACGUUACUUUCCAACUAUCACCACCUAAGCCUUUCAGCCAGAGAGCAAUUGGUUUUCGACUUACCCUGCGUUCCUAAGUUGGCAGAACUUUCUGGGUGUUUAUAAAUGAAGCUUCCUACCUCCAGUCUCUUCCCCAGCUCCAGCUUGCCUUCCACAGCCUGUUAACAGAAGACCAACCAAUUCCUGCUAAUCCAAACACCUUCACCUGAUGCUCAGGACCCUUCAGAUUUGGUUCUGGUCCUUGUGUUCCUCUCCUGCCUCAUCUCCAGCUAUUCUCCUGCAUGUGUGCUCCACUCCAGCCAUACCAAGCACCUUCCAGAUAUCUCACAGUUCUGAGUCUUUCCUUACUCUGCUUUCUCUGCCAGGCAUACACCUCAACCAGCCAAUUACCUACUUCUGCCCUUUAAGACUGCACACGGGUAUCACCUCCUCCAGGAAGCAUUCCCUGACUGGAUUAGAUGCCUUUCCUGUACACUCGUAACUAGUCAUUCAACUAUUCAAUAAAAUGGUUAUGGAGACCUAGCUUGUGUGUGGAGAUACAGAAGGGAACAAAACAAAGACUCUGCUUUCAAGAAGCUUAAAUUCUUGAAGGGGGGGUGGUGACAGACAAUAAAGAAAUAAAUAACUGUAUCAAGGGGUGAUAAAUACUCUGAAAAAAAAUGAAGCAGGGUAGAGUAUUAGAAAAUGGUUAGGAGGGAGUGCUGUUCUAUUUAGAGUAGUCAACAAAGGCCUUUCUGAUAAAGCAAACAGAGAACUGAAUCAAAU
ensembl:lncRNA